rnacentral:rRNA from 1 species
GGAAUUGUUCGCAAUGGGCGCAAGCCUGACGACGCAAUGCCGCGUGGAGGAUGAAGACCUUCGGGUCGUAAACUCCUUUCGCCCGCGAUGAACGCCUGCCGGCCCGAUACGCCGGCAGAUUCACCGUAUCGAGGGAAGAAGCCCCGGCUAACCCCGCUCCCGCAGCCGCGGUAAUCCGGGGGGGGCGAGCGUUGUUCGGAAUUACUGGGCGUAAAGGGUUCGUAGGUGGCCUUUUAAGUCAGAUGUGAAAUCCCUCGGCUCAACCGAGGAACUGCAUCUGAAACUGGAGGGCUCGAGUGCAGGAGAGGAACGCGGAAUUCCAGGUGUAGCGGUGAAAUGCGUAGAUAUCUGGAGGAACACCGGUGGCGAAGGCGGCGUUCUGGACUGCAACUGACACUGAGGAACGAAAGCCAGGGGAGCAAAC